CGGACGGGUGAGUAACACGUAAGAAUUUGCCUUUAGGAGGGGGAUAGCAACUGGAAACGGUUGCUAAUACCCCAUAUGCUUUCGAGUGAAAUGGAUUUAUCCGCCUAAAGAGGAGCUUGCGGCUGAUUAGCUUGUUGGUGAGGUAAUGGCUCACCAAGGCGACGAUCAGUAUCUGGUUUGAGAGGACGAUCAGACACACUGGAACUGAGACACGGUCCAG
rnacentral:rRNA from 1 species